UACGGGGGGGGCAAGCGUUGUUCGGAAUUACUGGGCGUAAAGGGCUCGUAGGCGGCCAACUAAGUCAGACGUGAAAUCCCCAGGCUCAACCUGGGAACUGCGUCUGAUACUGGAUGGCUUGAAUCCGGGAGAGGGAUGCAGAAUUCCAGGUGUAGCGGUGAAGUGCGUAGAUAUCAGAAGGAACAUCAGUGGCGAAAGCGGCUUCCUGGACCAGAACUGACGAUCAGGCUCGAAAGCGUGGGGAGCGAACCGG
rnacentral:rRNA from 1 species